UACGGAGGGUGCAAACGUUGCUCGGAAUCAUUGGGCGUAAAGCGCACGUAGGCGGCCUGUUAAGUCGGGUGUGAAAGCCCUGGGCUCAACCCAGGAAGUGCACUCGAAACUGGCAGGCUUGAAUAUGGAAGAGGGUCGCGGAAUUCCCGGUGUAGAGGUGAAAUUCGUAGAUAUCGGGAGGAACACCAGUGGCGAAGGCGGCUCACUGGCCCGGUACUGACGCUGAGGUGCGAAAGCGUGGGAGCAAACAGG
rnacentral:rRNA from 1 species